rnacentral:rRNA from 1 species
GCUCCAAUAGCGUAUAUUUAAGUUGUUGCAGUUAAAAAGCUCGUAGUUGGAUUUCGGAUAGGUUAACGGUCUGCCAUUGGUAUGUACUGUUAAAGUCUAUCUUUUUGUCGGGGAUGGGCUCUUGGGCUUCACUGUCUGGGACCUAGAUUCGGCGAGGAUACCUUAAGUAAUCGAAGUGCUUCAACAGCUUACGCCUUGAA